AGAGAGAGAGAGAGAGAGAGAGAGAGAGAGAGAGAGAGAGAGAGAUGCAGGGACGAAAGAGGAGGAGGGGAAGGAGGAAAAGAGGAGAAGGAGAAAGAACAGAAGGAGAAAGAAAAAGAAAGAAGAAAUUAAUAUCAAACAGCUACUGAGGGCUGGGGGCCUGGUCAGGCCUAGCAGCUUCCUGAGCGCAGUACAUGGAGCCUCUGAACCAGCUCCUGCUAUCAUCUCCGUUCUCAGGAAGCUGAGUCACAGGGAGGUAAAGAAACUGAGCUGGGGGUUGUGCUGCAGCUGGGCGGGGAAGGAAUGUGAACAUGGGCAGCCAUUUCCUGAGGCCAGCUCUGAACUACCCAGAUACAUACACUGCUUGCUAAAAGAACCUGUAAACAAAAGAGACCCUGGACAGCCCUGGAGAGCCUGCACUCUCAUCGUCAUCAGAAAUCUUCUGAUGGGGUGCCCCUAGUAGGGCCACAAGACCUCUCUGAUCAGCUCUCUGUAGCCACAGUGCUUCCGGAGUGAUGAGGAAUCCUCUCUGGGAACGCCUUCUGUCUGCCCACGCCUGUCCCAGCAACUCUCUGAUGGAUUCAAGAGGCUCCUUGUCUUACGGAAGACUGCUGCCUUCAGAGUUGAUGGACCCAGCAUGUUUAGCCCGAAUGAGGGAGAAAAGAAGCAUAGAUUUCUUUUGGUGAGAUGGAGGGGUUUUUUAUUAAUUUAUUUACUUAUUAAGACAAGAUCUCUUUGUAGUACUGAUUAUCUCGGAGCGCACUAUGUAGACACUCUAAAACUCACACAGGAAGAUCUCAGGGAUCUUCUUGCUUCUAUCUCUUGAGUGCUAGGAUCAAAGGCAUGUACCAUAGUGCCUGGCCUCGUUCUCUGCUCAGUCCAUGUCCCCAGUGUUGUAGGCUUUCUUUCUCCCUCCUCUUUUGGCCCUUCUGAGACAGACACAUUUACCUGAGGGCCUCCGUGUGACAUCACACUGGGGGUGGGUUCAACAGUUUCAUCCCCAAAUGAUGAUUCAGUAAGGCUUACCCCCUGCACUCCACACAAACCGCCUACCAGGCCAAACAGAACGUCUGCCAAGGCCAUCCUACCUGUGGCUUUCUUUACAUGGGACCUCCAUGGAGCCCUUCUAGGUUAACAGACAAUAAGUGGAGUCAACACAUCCCCAUCAGCUUGUAGAAGCUACUGAAAACAUCUAACCUUCUUCCCAAGACUGGAUUCUUUACUCUGUCAGGGGUUGAGGAGGAGGGGAGGCCAUGACGGAGACCAGAGAGGGAACGGUCUCCAGUACAAGCCUGGCUCUGAAAGCACUCCUAGCCUUUAAUCCCAGCACUUUGGAGGCAAAUGAAUUGGAUCUCUGUGAGUGCAAGACAAGCCAGAUCUAUAUAAUGAGGCCCGUCAUUGUCGUCAUCAUCGUCAUCAUCAUCAUCAUCAUCAUUAUCAUCAUCAUCAAAAAAGGCUUUUCCCAAACAAAAAAAUCCAGUCCCUCAUUUGCAUACAUUGUGGCCCUCGUUGGGACAGCCACAACCCAUCAUUUAUACCUGGGAUUACUCGCUCACUCCCGUGCGUCUUGCUCUAUUUAAAUGAGCCAAAAAUGAAUAAUGUCCGGGUCCA